AUUGAACGCUGGCGGCAGGCCUACAACAUGCAAGUCGAACGAGUGGCGGACGGGUGAGUAAUGUCUGGGAAACUGCCUGAUGGAGGGGGAUAACUCCUGGAAACGGUAGCUAAUACCGCAUACCAUCAGAUGUGCCCAGAGGGGAUUAGCUAGUUGGUGGGGGAACGGCUCUCCAAGGCGACGCUCCCUAGCUGGGCUGCGCGGAUGACCAGCCACACUGGAACUGAGACACGGUCAAGACGCCUACGGGAGGCAGCAGUGGGGAAGAUUGCAUAAUGGGCGCAAGCCUGAUGCAGCCAUGCCGCGGGUAUGAAGAAGGCCUUCGGGUUGUAAAGUACUUUCAGCGGGGAGGCGUUACCCGCAGAAGAAGCACCGGCUAACUCCGUGCCAGCCGCCGCGGUAAUAC
rnacentral:rRNA from 1 species